rnacentral:ncRNA from 1 species
GGGGGGCGGCGAUAGUACAUGUGGCGUGCUACGACGGAAACCACUCCAGUUGGGCAUACUCUCUUCGCCUAAAAGAGAAUUGCAUUGAGUGGCUCUUUCUAAAAGGCGUGGCCUCAGUUCGGAUUGUUCUCUGCAACUCGGGAACAUGAAGUUGAAAUCGCUAGUAAUCGCGGAUCAGCAUGCCGCGGUGAAUAUGUACCCGGGCCCUGUACACACCGCCCGUCACACCCUGGGAAUUGGUUUCGCCCGAAGCAUCGGACCAAUGAUCACCCAUGACUUCUGUGUACCACUAGUGCCACAAAGGCCUUUGGUGGUCUUAUUGGCGCAUACCACGGUGGGGUCUUCGACUGGGGUGAAGUCGUAACAAGGUAGCCGUAGGGGAACCUGUGGCUGGAUUGAAUCCUUC